ensembl:lncRNA
GUGGAGAGGGAAGUGUAGUAACAGCACCAUCUGUUUGGGUGUUCGGUGCUCAGAAACGUCAGCGGCGUUCAGAAGCGUCUGCUGACUAGCGGCUCUGACCUCUCCGCGCCAAACGGCUCUCGCUCAGCUGUGUUCACUGUGAGAACGUGCUUCAGGAGUGUGUGAGGUGUGAGCUUCAGCUGAUCGAUUGCUCUCCGUCUCAAACGAGCACGUCGCUGUUCCUGGAAACUCCUGCUGAGAUGCUACGAGGAUGACCAAGACCAAACACAGUAGAAUGAGAUGCAACGCAGCAGGAUGAACUCAGAGCUGAAGAACACCUGAGUCUCGCUGAUAACAGCAC